AGGGUUGGGCAUCCAUCAUCCCACAUGCUUGAGUUGAGAGGAGUCUGUUCUACAGCAAGGAAUAAUGAGAAAAAGCUGCAGUUCAAGAGUUGUGAUUGCAGUCAAGAUCAACUGUUGAUCAAGAUUCAAAGAGGCUAAGAUCCUACUUGGAGAAAAAAGAUCUACUAUGAGAAGAAGGAUUCAAGAUUGAUCCUGAUGGAUAUCUGU
rnacentral:lncRNA from 1 species